CCAAGAAGACAGAACAAGGGAGGUCCUUACUACAGUAAAUAAAUGAAAAUUAGAAUGUUUCUAUAGUUCCCAUAUAGUAUAGUUUCUAUAUAGUGCUGGGAGGCUACUUACCUGAUCAGAAUAGAGAAAGACCUUUUUUUCCAUCCAUGAAGAUGCAACAGAAUAGGGUAAAGAAGAAAUGGAGGAAGAGCUAUCAACUGCAAGACUAAAUAGCCGUUAACUGCAUAAAUGAACAUGUAUCCAUAUAAUAUGUAAUUCAUAUGUAUCACCAAAGCAGAGAAUAUUUGCAGCAACCAGCAGUGGUCGUGGUUUGUAAUUACAGCUUCAAGAAACAGAGGAGCCUGUAUUAAAGGAGUGCAAGGAGACUGCUGCCUACUAGAGACACUACUGGAGCAAACUGGUGAUUGUUGUAGAUGUUGCGCAACUGAUUCUGAAUUGCAAAUCGUUCAUCGUCAGGUAGAUCAUGCUGGGAGGUUGCAUCUUUUUCAUACCCUUU